CAGUUUUAUAGCUCUUUUAGAAUUUGUCUAGCAGGUUUUCUGGCUUUGAAAACCCCA
rnacentral:snRNA from 1 species